AUUGAACGCUGGCGGCAGGCCUAACACAUGCAAGUCGAACGAGUGGCGGACGGGUGAGUAAUGUCUGGGAAACUGCCUGAUGGAGGGGGAUAACUAAUGGAAACGGUAGCUAAUACCGCAUAACAUCGGAAGUGCCCAGAUGGGCUUAGCUAGUAGGUGGGGUAACGGCUCACCUAGGCGACUAUCCCGAGCUGGUCUGAGAGGCUGACCAGCCACACUGGAACUGAGCAACGGUCCAGGCUCCUACGGGAGGCAACAGUGGGGAAUAUUGCACAAUGGGCGCAAGCCUGAUGCAGCCAUGCCGCGUGUAUGAAGAAGGCCUUCGGGUUGUAAAGUACUUUCAGCGGGGAGGCGUUACCAGCAGAAGAAGCACCGGCUAACUCCGUGCCAGCCGCCGCGGUAAUAC
rnacentral:rRNA from 1 species